CAAGCGGUGGAUGAUGUGGAUUAAUUCGAUGCAACGCGAAAAACCUUACCUACCCUUGACAUGUACGGAAGGCCGGAGAGAUUUGGCUGUGCUCGAAAGAGAACCGUAACACAGGUGCUGCAUGGCUGUCGUCAGCUCGUGUCGUGAGAUGUUGGGUUAAGUCCCGCAACGAGCGCAACCCUUGUCAUUAGUUGCUACGAAAGGGCACUCUAAUGAGACUGCCGGUGACAAACCGGAGGAAGGUGGGGAUGACGUCAAGUCCUCAUGGCCCUUAUGGGUAGGGCUUCACACGUCAUACAAUGGUACAUACAGAGCGCCGCCAACCCGCGAGGGGGAGCUAAUCGCAGAAAGUGUAUCGUAGUCCGGAUUGUAGUCUGCAACUCGACUACAUGAAGUUGGAAUCGCUAGUAAUCGCGGAUCAGCAUGUCGCGGUGAAUACGUUCCCGGGUCUUGUACACACC
rnacentral:rRNA from 1 species